rnacentral:rRNA from 1 species
GAUGAACGCUGGCGGCGUGCCUAUUACAUGCAAGUCGAGCGAACAGACGAGGAGCUUGCUCCUCUGACGUUAGCGGCGGACGGGUGAGUAACACGUGGAUAACCUACCUAUAAGACUGGGAUAACUUCGGGAAACCGGAGCUAAUACCGGAUAAUAUAUUGAACCGCAUGGUUCAAUAGUGAAAGACGGUUUUGCUGUCACUUAUAGAUGGAUCCGCGCCGCAUUAGCUAGUUGGUAAGGUAACAGCUUACCAAGGCAACGAUGCGUAGCCGACCUGAGAGGGUGAUCGGCCACACUGGAACUGAGACACGGUCCAGACUCCUACGGGAGGCAGCAGUAGGGAAUCUUCCGCAAUGGGCGAAAGCCUGACGGAGCAACGCCGCGUGAGUGAUGAAGGUCUUCGGAUCGUAAAACUCUGUUAUUAGGGAAGAACAAAUGUGUAAGUAACUAUGCACGUCUUGACGGUACCUAAUCAGAAAGCCACGGCUAACUACGUG